GCAAUAAAAUGACACACUGAUUCAUGAAAUGGUCUGCCUAUUCGGAAAAGAUGCAAACUUUGUACGAACAGAUAUGAUCUUUCAGGAAAGGUCACACCUUUAAGUGAACCAUUGCCACCUUUCAGAAGAGGCAUAUGAAGGCUAUAUAAACCUACUUUCAUCCACAGUUUUAGACACGAUUUUUCUGAAUUACAAACUCUCUUCUUGUUUUCAAAAUAUUUUGUGUGAUUAAUCAAACUGUU
rnacentral:lncRNA from 1 species